CGGGGUGAGUAACGCGUGAGCAACCUGCCCUCGAAGUGGGGGACGAACAGUUGGAAACGAACUGCUAAUACCGCAUAAUAUAUUUAGAUCGCAUGGUUUAGAUAUCAAAGAUUUAUCGCUUCAAGAUGGGCUCGCGUCUGAUUAGGUAGUUGGCGGGGUAACGGCCCGCCAAGCCGACGAUCAGUAGCCGGACUGAGAGGUUGAACGGCCACAUUGGGACUGAGAUACGGCCCAGACUCCUACGGAAGGCAGCAG
rnacentral:rRNA from 1 species